GACGAACGCUGGCGGCGUGCUUAACACAUGCAAGUCGAACGGAAAGGCCCUGCUUUUGUGGGGUGCUCGAGUGGCGAACGGGUGAGUAACACGUGAGUAACCUGCCCUUGACUUUGGGAUAACUUCAGGAAACUGGGGCUAAUACCGGAUAGGAGCUCCUGCUGCAUGGUGGGGGUUGGAAAGUUUCGGCGGUUGGGGAUGGACUCGCGGCUUAUCAGCUUGUUGGUGGGGUAGUGGCUUACCCAGGCUUUGACGGGUAGCCGGCCUGUGAGGGUGACCGGCCACAUUGGGACUGAGGUACGGCCCAGACUCCUACGGGAGGCAGCAGUGGGGAAUAUUGCACAAUGGGCGGAAGCCUGAUGCAGCAACGCCGCGUGCGGGAUGACGGCCUUCGGGUUGUAAACCGCCUUCGCCUGUGACGAAGCGUGAGUGACGGUAAUGGGUAAAGAAGCACCGGCUAACUACGUG
rnacentral:rRNA from 1 species